rnacentral:lncRNA from 1 species
GGGCUUUGGAUUGGUGGCUUGCAUACAAAAGGCACACUUGUAGGUGAGUCCCUUACUACUGCUAGGAACUGACCAGUCCUGGGAGGGGGAGUCUCUCCAGGAUCAGCAAGACCCCAGAAGUCAAAACAUCAGAAAACACAGAAACUAAAAAGGCAUGAUUAGAAUAACAUGGACAUCUUGUAAUAUAAGUAAGUAUGACAUUCAGUAUAAGUGUUAUAUUCAGUUUACAGAUGAGAAAUUUGAGACUCAGAUAUUAAAUAACAACUGUCACACAAUCUCUAAGACAGGUAGAAACAGAAUUCAAAGCCAAAUCUGCCCAAAUAAAGCUCAUUCUCCUGAAAUAAAUGUCGAUAUCCCCAUUUUACAGAUCACAACCCUUUAUCAAUGAAAACAACUCUAUACAGGUAAGGGAGGCAUCCUUCAUGAAUUCUUCCUCCCAUUUCCACAAUUCUUACAAUUAAUCAAACAAUCUGAGCCAGUCUUCACUUCAUGAGAAAAGCUGUCUCCAAAAUGCUGAGGAUGUAAACACAGUCACAACUGUCUCAUGACAGUUAGUUGACAAAUAUUGAUUGUAGGGGGCUGCUGAUUUUAAGAUGUCCUCAAUUUCAUAGAUGCCAAAUUGCGGGUUGGUGGGGAACAUGUCUCAGAUUUGAUGAAACAUGGGGCAUCACAGAAUAUCUGAAAGAUUAAAUUGAGAGUCUAGCAUACAGAACACUCAUAGCAUCUAUUUUUUGGUUCUUCAUAAAUGUUAAUUCCCCUUUCCUUCUCCCAAUACUCAACUUUAGGUGACUUGACUAACGUACAUCUUCCUCCUGCAAAAAGCAAUGCAGAGUAUUGGGGAAUAGUCAACAAUUGUAAAGGUUCCCCAACUGCCAGCUUCUACAGACCUUGGUUCUUCCCUUAUUCUUACCUGUGUGGGUGUCUAUCUGACACGGCUGGAGGAGGGUCUGAGGUCUACCUGCUGCCAUGAAGUCAUGAACAUGUGAAUCAGAAUGCUAUUAGGUUUAGGUAUAAUAUUGCUUCUACUGACGCCCUAACCUACAGAGUAACGCUUGACACAAUCUUAUUUUUUGGGGGAUGUAUUUCUUUUUAAAGAAAUGUGUAUAAAUGUAUGGUGUACAAGUGCCAUUUUGUUACAUGCGUAGAUUGCCUAGUGGCCAAGUCAGGGCUUUAGGGUACCCAUCACCCAAAUAAUGUACGUUGCAUCCAUUAGGCAAUUUCUUGUUAUCUACCCUUCUCGUGCCCCCUGACACUUCUGAGGACCUAUUGCCUAUCAUUCCACUCUCUACAUACAUGUGGACACAAUUUUCAGCACCCACUUAUGAAUGAAAACAUGAGUUGUUUGACUUUCUGUCUGGCUUGUUUCACUUAAGAUAAUGACCACCAGUUUCACCCAUGUUGCUGCAAAAGACAUGAAGUCAUUCUUUUGAUGGCCAGAUAGUAUUCUAUUGUGUAAAUAACACAUUUUCUUUAUCCAGGGGAUUUUCUUCUUCCAUUGAUGGACAUUUAGGUUGGUUCUAUAGCUUUACUAUUGUGACUAGUGCUACAAUAAAUAUAUGAGUGAAGGUAUCUUUUUGAUAAAUUGAUUGUUUUCCUUUUGCACAGAUACCCAAUAGUGCAGUUGCUGGGUCAAAUGGUAGCUCUAUUUUUAGUCUGAAAAAUCUCCAUACUGUUUUCCAUGGAGGUUGCACUAAUUUAUAUUCCCACCAACAGCGAAUGAGUUCUUUUUUCUCUACAUCCUUGCCAACAUCUGUGAUUUUCUGUCUUUUUAAUAAUAGCCAUUCUGGCAGGGUAAGAUGCUAUCUCAUUGUGGUUUGGAUUUGCAUUUCUCUGAUGAUUAGCGAUGUUGAGCAUCUUUUCAUAUACGUGUAGGACAUCUGUAUGUCAUCUUUUGAAAAAGGUCUAUUCCUUUUUUUUUCUUUUUUGCAUACUUUUAAAAGUACAUUAAGAGGGGAUUAUUUGUCUUUGUUGUUGUGUUUGAGCUCCUUGUAUCGUCUGGAUAGUAGUUCCCUGUUGGAUGAAUAGUUUGCAAAUAUUAUCUCCCAUCCUGUUGGUU